GAAUUCGCCCUUAGAGUUUGAUCCUGGCUCAGGACGAACGCUGGCGGCGCGCCUAACACAUGCAAGUCGAACGAGAGAGAGGAAGCUUGCUUCCUCAAUCGAGUGGCGAACGGGUGAGUAACGCGUGAGGAACCUGCCUCAAAGAGGGGGACAACAGUUGGAAACGACUGCUAAUACCGCAUAAGCCCACAGCUCGGCAUCGAGCAGAGGGAAAAGGAGCAAUCCGCUUUGAGAUGGCCUCGCGUCCGAUUAGCUAGUUGGUGAGGUAACGGCCCAUCAAGGCGACGAUCGGUAGCCGGACUGAGAGGUUGAACGGCCACAUUGGGACUGAGACACGGCCCAGACUCCUACGGGAGGCAGCAGUGGGGAAUAUUGCACAAUGGGCGAAAGCCUGAUGCAGCAACGCCGCGUGAGGGAAGACGGUUUUCGGAUUGUAAACCUCUGUUUUCGGUGACGAACAAAUGACGGUAACCGAGUAGGAAGCCACGGCUAACUACGUGCCAGCAGCCGCGGUAAUACGUAGGUGGCAAGCGUUAUCCGGAAUUACUGGGUGUAAAGGGAGCGCAGGCGGGAUAGCAAGUCAGCUGUGAAAACUAUGGGCUCAACCCAUAAACUGCAGUUGAAACUGUUAUUCUUGAGUGGAGUAGAGGCAAGCGGAAUUCCGAGUGUAGCGGUGAAAUGCGUAGAUAUUCGGAGGAACACCAGUGGCGAAGGCGGCUUGCUGGGCUCUAACUGACGCUGAGGCUCGAAAGUGUGGGGAGCAAACAGGAUUAGAUACCCUGGUAGUCCACACUGUAAACGAUGAUU
rnacentral:rRNA from 1 species